GACGGGGGCCCGCACAAGCAGCGGAGCAUGUGGUUUAAUUCGACGCAACGCGAAGAACCUUACCAGGUCUUGACAUCCAGUAAAAGCCAUAGAGAUAUGGUGUGAGCUUGCUCAUACUGAGACAGGUGGUGCAUGGUUGUCGUCAGCUCGUGUCGUGAGAUGUUGGGUUAAGUCCCGCAACGAGCGCAACCCUUAUUUUCAGUUACUAACGGGUAAAGCUGAGGACUCUGAAGAGACUGCCGGGGACAACUCGGAGGAAGGUGGGGACGACGUCAAAUCAUCAUGCCCCUUAUGACCUGGGCUACACACGUGCUACAAUGGCCACCACAGAGAGGAGCGAACCCGUAAGGGGGAGCGGAUCUCAAAAAAGUGGUCCCAGUUCGGAUUGUGGGCUGCAACCCGCCCACAUGAAGUCGGAGUUGCUAGUAAUCGCGGAUCAGCAUGCCGCGGUGAAUACGUUCCCGGGCCUUGUACACACCGCCCGUCACACCAUGGGAGUUGGGAGUGCCCAAAGUCGGUGAGGUAACCGCAGGGAGCCAGCCGCCUAAGGCUAGACCAAUGAGGGG
rnacentral:rRNA from 1 species